CCAGACUCCUACGGGAGGCAGCAGUGGGGGAUAUUGCACAAUGGGGGGAACCCUGAUGCAGCGACGCCGCGUGGGUGAAGAAGCGCCUCGGCGCGUAAAGCCCUGUCAGCAGGGAAGAAAAUGACGGUACCUGAAGAAGAAGCCCCGGCUAACUCCGUGCCAGCAGCCGCGGUAAUACGGAGGGUGCGAGCGUUGUCCGGAUUUACUGGGUGUAAAGGGUGCGCAGGCGGCUCUGCAAGUCAGGCGUGAAAGCUAGGGGCUCAACCCCUAAAUUGCGCUUGAAACUGUGGAGCUUGAGUGAAGUAGAGGCAGGCGGAAUUCCCGGUGUAGCGGUGAAAUGCGUAGAGAUCGGGAGGAACACCAGUGGCGAAGGCGGCCUGCUGGGCUUUAACUGACGCUCAGGCACGAAAGCAUGGGUAGCAAACAGGAUUAGAUACCCGUGUA
rnacentral:rRNA from 1 species